rnacentral:sRNA from 1 species
GCCAGGUGUGGUGGCACAUGCCUGUAAUCCUAGAGACUCUGGAGGCCGAGGCAGGAGGAUGGCAAGUUCAAGGACAGCCUUGGCAACUUAGUGAGACCCUGUCUCUA